CAGGAUGAACGCAGCGACAGGCUUAACACAUGCAAGUCGAGGGCAGCAUAGAAGUAGCAAUACUUGGUGGCGACCGGCGCACGGGUGAGUAACGCGUAUGCAACCUACCUAUCAGAGGGGAAGUAACCCGGCGAAAGUCGGACUAAUACCGCAUAAAACAGGGGCACCGCAUGGUGAUAUUUGUUAAAGAAAUUCGCUGAUAGAUGGGCAUGCGUUCCAUUAGGUAGUUGGUGAGGUAACGGCUCACCAAGCCGACGAUGGAUAGGGGAACUGAGAGGUUGGUCCCCCACACUGGUACUGAGACACGGACCAGACUCCUACGGGAGGCAGCAGUGAGGAAUAUUGGUCAAUGGGCGGGAGCCUGAACCAGCCAAGUCGCGUGAAGGAAGAAGGAUCUAUGGUUCGUAAACUUCUUUUGCAGGGGAAUAAAGUGCAGGACGUGUCCUGUUUUGUAUGUACCCUGAGAAUAAGGAUCGGCUAACUCCGUGCCAGCCGCGGC
rnacentral:rRNA from 1 species